UACGUAGGGUGCGAGCGUUGUCCGGAAUUAUUGGGCGUAAAGGGCUCGUAGGCGGUUUGUCACGUCGGGAGUGAAAACUCAGGGCUUAACCCUGAGCCUGCUUCCGAUACGGGCAGACUAGAGGUAUGCAGGGGAGAAUGGAAUUCCUGGUGUAGCGGUGAAAUGCGCAGAUAUCAGGAGGAACACCGGUGGCGAAGGCGGUUCUCUGGGCCGAUACUGACGCUGAGGAGCGAAAGCGUGGGGAGCGAACAGG
rnacentral:rRNA from 1 species